rnacentral:rRNA from 1 species
UACGAAGGGGCUAGCGUUGCUCGGAAUUACUGGGCGUAAAGCGUGCGCAGGCGGUUGUGUAAGACAGAUGUGAAAUCCCCGGGCUCAACCUGGGAACUGCAUUUGUGACUGCACGGCUCGAGUGCGGCAGAGGGGGAUGGAAUUCCGCGUGUAGCAGUGAAAUGCGUAGAUAUGCGGAGGAACACCGAUGGCGAAGGCAAUCCCCUGGGCCUGCACUGACGCUCAUGCACGAAAGCGUGGGGAGCAAACAGG